rnacentral:rRNA from 1 species
UACGUAGGUGGCGAGCGUUGUCCGGAUUUACUGGGCGUAAAGCGCGCGCAGGCGGACUGAUCAGUCUGGGGUGAAAUUUCACGGCUCAACUGUGAGCGGUCCCUGGAUACUGUCAGCCUUGAGAUGUCUAGAGGAGAGCGGAAUUCCCGGUGUAGUGGUGGAAUGCGUAGAUAUCGGGAAGAACACCAGUGGCGAAAGCGGCUCUCUGGGGACCAUCUGACGCUGAGGCGCGAAAGCCAGGGGAGCAAACGGG